CCGUAGGUGAACCUGCGGAGGGAUCAUUACUGAGUUAUCUAAACUCCCAACCCUUUGUGAACCUUACCGUCGUUGCCUCGGCGGGCUGUACUUACCCUGUAGCUACCCUGUAGCUACCCGGUAGGUGCGCUCCAAGCCCGCCGGUGGACCACUAAAUUCUAUUUUACUACUGUAUCUCUGAAUGCUUCAACUUAAUAAGUUAAAACUUUCAACAACGGAUCUCUUGGUUCUGGCAUCGAUGAAGAACGCAGCGAAAUGCGAUAAGUAAUGUGAAUUGCAGAAUUCAGUGAAUCAUCGAAUCUUUGAACGCACAUUGCGCCCAUUAGUAUUCUAGUGGGCAUGCCUAUUCGAGCGUCAUUUCAACCCUUAAGCCUAGUUGCUUAGUGUUGGGAAUCUGCCCUGUAUUUAUAGGGCAGUUCCUUAAAGUGAUCGGCGGAGUUAGGGCAUACUCUAAGCGUAGUAAUAUUCUUCUCGCUUCUGUAGUUGUCCUGGCGGCUUGCCGUUAAACCCCUAUAUUUCUAGUGGUUGACCUCGGAUUA
rnacentral:rRNA from 1 species